GUAAAUGUGAGUUUUAUAAUAUUAUUUCUUCACAUCCACAUUUGAACUUUACGUACUGCACUAUUGGUUGUCCUUCUCUUCUUUUUAUCUUUCAUAUACGUGGAACCACUACAAUAGUAGAAGACGUCACCAGCAAAGACCAUUUGUAAGGAUUAAACAGUUGGACUUUUUCUCUCUUUUUAAUUUGGACUUUAUCCUUAUUUGUGUG